rnacentral:RNase_P_RNA from 1 species
AGAGUAGGUCAAAUGAUCGCUGCUCCGUGCUUGACGUUUGUCGCGGCCGGGGGAGAGGAAAGUCCGAGCUCCGUAGGGCAAGGUGCUGGGUAACGCCCAGUCCCGGUGAUGGGAAGGAAAGUGCCACAGAAAGCAAACCGCCUCGGGGAACGUUUGUUUCCCGAGGUAAGGGUGAAACGGUGAGGUAAGAGCUCACCAGCUCCGAUGGUGACAUCGGAGGCUCGGCAAACCCCACCUGGAGCAAGACCAAAUAGGAGAGCAUUGAGGGUGGCCCGCCCAAGCUCUCGGGUAGGUCGCUUGAGGCUGCGAGUAAUCGUGGUCCUAGAUGAAUGUUCAUUGUCCUUGGGGAGUGAUCCCCGAAGGAAACAGAACUCGGCUUAUGCCCUGCUCUAUUC